rnacentral:tRNA from 1 species
GGGCUUGUAGCUCAGCCGGUAGAGCAGCGGCCUUUUAAGCCGUUGGCCGAGGGUUCGAAUCCCUCCGAGCCCA